ensembl:lncRNA
CUGAAAAAAGGGGUCCUGGCAGGGUGCAGGAGGGUUCUGCCCUCAUUAAAUAGAAAAGCAGUUAGUGCAAAAAGCAGCACUGGAUUUGGUAACAGAUGCAAUAACAGCUAAGGGUAAAGCAAGAAACGAUGGGAGUGAGCAACUAUAGCUGUACAUACUUUCUUUUCGCACAUCUGGACCAGGCUGCACACCCAGAGAGAAGUGACAACACAGCCCCUGUGGUAUUUCAUACAGGGAAGACUGUCCCGAGGCCUGUCUACUUUCCUUGGGCUGAGCUUAGAGAAUUGGGAAGAGUGUCCAAGACAUCCCCGUCCCCAUCCUCAUGAAGAGGGCAGAAGGUUUGCUCACCACUGCUGCCUCUGCCCAGAUGUGCUCUUACCAGAUGUGUGCCUACACCAGGAUCCUAUGGAGAGUCUGUGACAGCAAGGGCAUAGAAACACAUGCUCACACCUUUCCAAUCAGCACCAGGUUAGAGUGAGAAGGCAGUGAAGAACAGCACUUUUGUGUAAGCUGUGUGGAUAUUUUAGGCUGAUGGGAGCAGAGGACUGAGAAAGGAAAGAGGAAACUUCCCUUGCAUCAUGGUCUCCUUGCAUCAUGGCUACUCUGGAAAGCAGCUGAAAUGCGGAUUAAAUGCAGAAGUCAUCCAGUCACCAGGAAAAUACAUGAACCCUGGCUGUAAGACGAAUUUACAACUCUACUCAUUGCUAUGCCAUUGACUCAUUUCUUCUGUUUCCCUUGGGUCUCCUGUCUGUGGCUAAGAUCUCUCGGAAGAAGCUAUCUGCCCAUAUGCGAUGCAAUAUAUCCUCAUCUCCAGAUGCAUCUUGUAAUAGUGACAGUGUGGGCAGCAGCCAGGCCCAGUCUGUGUGUGCUCUGGAAGGCUUUCACAGAGGAAAACAAAAGGGAUCUCAGUUUACAGUAAGACAGAUCCUUCCAAGCCCUCCGAAAAGAAAGCCAGUGCUCUUUGUUGUACAGUGCUACUCAGAGGAUGCAAGACUAAGUGAAAUGUCUGUGUCUUCCUCUCCAAGCUCUGAGCAAACUACAUGAAAUGGAGAGCUUAUACCCUGAUGACCUUCACGCUUCUUGCUCUCAGCUAGGGGAUGCUUGUCAUUUGCCUCUCUGCAAUCCAUAAGGAGGUAUGUUCAGU